UGGGGAAUUUUGGACAAUGGGCGAAAGCCUGAUCCAGCAAUGCCGCGUGUGUGAAGAAGGCCUUCGGGUUGUAAAGCACUUUUGUCCGGAAAGAAAUCCUUGGCUCUAAUACAGUCGGGGGAUGACGGUACCGGAAGAAUAAGCACCGGCUAACUACGUGCCAGCAGCCGCGGUAAUACGUAGGGUGCAAGCGUUAAUCGGAAUUACUGGGCGUAAAGCGUGCGCAGGCGGUUUGCUAAGACCGAUGUGAAAUCCCCGGGCUCAACCUGGGAACUGCAUUGGUGACUGGCAGGCUAGAGUAUGGCAGAGGGGGGUAGAAUUCCACGUGUAGCAGUGAAAUGCGUAGAGAUGUGGAGGAAUACCGAUGGCGAAGGCAGCCCCCUGGGCCAAUACUGACGCUCAUGCACGAAAGCGUGGGGAGCAAACAGGAUUAGAUACCCUGGUAGUCCACGCCCUAAAACGAUGUCAACUAGUUGUUGGGGAUUCAUUUCCUUAGUAACGUAGCUAACGCGUGAAGUUGACCGCCUGGGGAGUACGGUCGCAAGAUUAAAACUUAAAGGAAUUG
rnacentral:rRNA from 1 species